rnacentral:rRNA from 1 species
CCUACGGGAGACAGCAGUGAGGAAUAUUGGUCAAUGGGCGCGAGCCUGAACCAGCCAAGUAGCGUGAAGGAUGACUGCCCUACGGGUUGUAAACUUCUUUUAUAAAGGAAUAAAGUGAGGCACGUGUGCCUUUUUGUCUGUACUUUAUGAAUAAGGAUCGGCUAAAUCCGUGCCAGCAGCCGCGGUAAUACGGAGGAUCCGAGCGUUAUCCGGAUUUAUUGGGUUUAAAGGGAGCGUAGAUGGGUUGUUAAGUCAGUUGUGAAAGUUUGCGGCUCAACCGUAAAAUUGCAAUUGAUACUGGCAGCCUUGAGUACAGUUGAGGUAGGCGGAAUUCGUGGUGUAGCGGUGAAAUGCGUAGAUAUUAGGAGGAACAUCAGGGGCGAAGGCGACUUACUGGACUGUAACUGACACUGAGGCACGAAAGCGUGGGGAGCAAACAGGAUUAGAUACCCCUGUAGUC